UACAGAGGUGGCAAGCGUUGUUCGGAAUUACUGGGCGUAAAGGGCGCGUAGGCGGUUCUGUAAGUCCCGCGUGAAAUCCCCCGGCUCAACUGGGGAACUGCGCGGGAAACUGUGGGGCUAGAGUUCAGGAGAGGGAAGCGGAAUUCCGGGUGUAGCGGUGAAAUGCGUAGAUAUCCGGAGGAACACCGGUGGCGAAGGCGGCUUCCUGGACUGACACUGACGCUGAGGCGCGAAAGCUAGGGGAGCAAACGGG
rnacentral:rRNA from 2 species